rnacentral:lncRNA from 1 species
GAUCAGUGGUUUAGACGGGGAGUUAAAAGAUGCUGAACUGCUGGCCUGAUUCAGUUACUGAACAUUUCAAACAGUGAAGUCAUCAUGGUCAACUCUAUAAGAUGAGUACCUCUUGGCAAGGUAAACCUCAAAUGCUCACUAGCUAGGACCAUGGUGUCAGCAUUUUGAUGAUGAAUCAUGGCGUGGCAGCGGUUACUCGAGUCACAGAAUAGGAAGUUAUACCAGAAGCGUAACUCUAGUCGUUUCCCUUAUUGUUUGACGUCAACGAAAAUUUUAACUCGCUCACGUCAGGCCACGCCAUCCUGGCUAGUACAGCCGGAAGUUUUUAUCAGGAUUUGGUAGGUACAAAGUGCCGGUUGUACUAGCCAGGAUGGCGUGAUUGAUGACGAAUCGCUUGUAAAAAAGCGGACAAAUAUUUGCUCGAGUUACGCUUCUGAUAUAACUUCCUAUUCUGUGCUCGAGUCGACCUUCUGUGUGCCUUAUUCUAUGAUUUAACUCACUAUUCAAGACCCACCUGAAAACUGUGAAAAGGACUGCAACUGAGAAGAGACCGUUUUUCAUUUAUAAAGCUUGGUAGUUGGUAUAUCCGUAUAUAGUAAUACAUACGCAAUAAAGCACUUUAAAGUGUAAGUACAUUUAUAGACUAUGUCACAAUGCAGUUUUUAAAUAUAAAUGCAGUUUUUAAAAUAUCCAUAAAGUGUCACUAUAUUCCAGUCAACUUGAAAAAAGAACUUUAUCCAAAAAUAACAUUAUUGUGGUUUGAAAUUUCUCCAUUUUAAUCAUAGUAUAGUUAGUUUAUAUUCUUCAGAGUUAUUCGUCGUUUUCGAACUCUUUGGGGUCCUUUCUACUCAGCCGAUGAUUUUCAUUCUUCGCCCAGUUAAUGACCAAGAAAGCAGAGAUAAAAGCAGGCAAAAUGUAACCAAUUGAACCCGUAAAACGACGUACAACAUUUGGACCACUCUUUGAAAUGAAUCCAGCAAAAGCACGUUGUUCAAAUGGCGACAACGAGUACGUGAUAAUGUUCUUAGCUUUAAUAAGAUUUCCAAAUUCUUUACCACCCAUCUUAGACGAGAAUUAGCGAAAGUUUAUGUACAAUUUCACUGCUAAUUUCCACAAUUUCACUGCUAUAUAAAAUUCCACUCGCUAUAAAUUUUCAGCCAAUAUGGAGGAGCAAAGAGAACGGGAUUGUG